CCUACGGUAGGCUGCAGUGAGGAAUAUUGGUCAAUGGCCGGAAGGCUGAACCAGCCAUGCCGCGUGAAGGUCAGUGCCCUAUGGGCGUUAAACUUCUUUUGUGCGGGAGCAAUAAUGGUCACGUGUGGCCAGACGAGAGUACCGUACGAAUAAGCAUCGUCUAACUCCGUGCAAGCAGCCGCGGUAAUACGGGGGAUGCAAGCGUUAUCCGGAUUUAUUGGGUUUAAAGGGUGCGUAGGCUGUGAGGUAAGUCAGCGGUGAAAUGCCCCCGCUCAACGGGGUGAAGUGCCAUUGAGACUGCCUUGCUGGAAUGCGGAUGCCGUGGGAGGAAUGUGUGGUGUAGCGGUGAAAUGCAUAGAUAUCACACAGAACACCGAUUGCGAAGGCAUCUCACGAAUCCGCGAUUGACGCUGAUGCACGAAAGCGUGGGUAUCAAACAGGAUUAGAUACCCGAGUAGUC
rnacentral:rRNA from 1 species